rnacentral:rRNA from 1 species
AGGACGAACGCUGGCGGCGUGCUUAACACAUGCAAGUCGAGCGGAAAGGCCCUUCGGGGUACUCGAGCGGCGAACGGGUGAGUAACACGUGAGCAACCUGCCCCUGGCUCUGGGAUAGCCUCCGGAAACCGGGAUUAAUACCGGAUACGACCACCUUAGACAUCUUUUGUGGUGGAAAGAAUUUCGGCUAGGGAUGAGCUCGCGGCCUAUCAGCUUGUUGGUGGGGUAAUGGCCUACCAAGGCGACGACGGGUA